UUCUGGGUAGAUUUUCAGAUUCUUCUGCCAUUCAGAGGGGAAUACCACAAAACUGAUGACGGCCAUUCUUGCGGAGAUCUAAGAAAAGCAUCUCCUCUCUCUAGUUAAGGGAACCACCUUUCAAGAUUUAGACAUUGCAGAAGAUGUUACCUCUCAAAAGGAGAGCAAUGCUUAGACCAUCACUGACAAAGAGCUGACUGGGCUUCAAGCUGUGGGAACAGUAGGAAGAUUUAUGCCAGGAAGAUAUACGAAAGGUACAAGAAAUGCAGCUGAUCUUCCCUUUGGAGAGAAGAAAUCGACAAGCAGUUGACAAACUGCACAGCUCAGCAAACUUCUGAAAAGAAAUCAACUCAGUGACCGGAUGGGGAGUAAGGAAAACUGGGACUUUCCCCUGUAGUACAAUGAAGCUGGUGGUAUAUAUGAAGAGAAGGAUCUAGGAUUAGCUGUUAGUGGAUGAGCAAUUGAGCUGUUUUUAAUUUUCCAGAUGAUCAUGGCCCAGCUGGCCAUGAACAGUAAGAAAAUAUUCCUGUUUUUACACUCUGACUGGGUGCUGAACUAUGCAGUUGGGUCUAACUCUGUCAGGUUAUGGCUCAGAGAAAAUUGGCCGUUCUAACGGGGAAGCGGUGCAGCUGUCUCUGUCAGUUAGAUUCACAGUGCAUCUGCUUCUGCUGUGAGUGGUGUUGAAAUCCCCCUGGCAAGAGAGACACAAAGGAGCUGGUUGUGACUAUAGAGAGAGGAACUGGAAGGAGAAGUUAGUGCAGGGGAAGAGGAAAGCAAUGUAAGAGGUUGUGUCUGUCAGGACUGAUCAGUGGAGCUGGUUGUAACUGUCACAGGUCAGCAAUAUCUGGUUGUAUCUGUGUGUUAAUGAAGGGGCUGAUUGAUACCUGCCUACGGAGGAAGAGGCUGUUGGACCCACCAAGGAUAAAGCAGUGUAGCUGGUCAGAGUAGCCA